GAGUGUAUAGCUCAGUGGUAGAGUGCGUGCUUAGCAUGCACUAGGUCCUGGGUUCAAUCCUCAGUACCUCCA
rnacentral:tRNA from 1 species